rnacentral:rRNA from 1 species
GACGAACGCUGGCGGCGUGCUUAACACAUGCAAGUCGAACGGAAAGGCCCUGCUUUUGUGGGGUGCUCGAGUGGCGAACGGGUGAGUAACACGUGAGUAACCCGCCCUUGACUUUGGGAUAACUUCAGGCAACUGGGGCUAAUACCGGAUAGGAGCUCCUGCUGCAUGGUGGGGGUUGGAACGUUUCGGCGGUUGGGGAUGGACUCGCGGCUUAUCAGCUUGUUGGUGGGGUAGUGGCUUACCAAGCCUUCGACGGGUAGCCGGCCUGAGAGGGUGACCGGCCACAUUGGGACUAAGGUACGGCCCAGACUCCUACGGGGGGCAGCAGUGGAGAAUAUGGCACGAUGGUGGGAAGCCUGAUGCAGCAGCACCGCGUGCGGGAUGACGGCUUUCGGGUUGUAAACCGCUUUCGCCUGUGACGAAGCGUGAGUGACGGUAAUGGGUAAAGAAGCACCGGCUAACUACGUG